rnacentral:tRNA from 1 species
CUCUCGAUAGCUCAGUUGGCAGAGCGGCAGACUGUAGAAGGUUUACUAUGCAUUUAUCUGUAGGUCACUGGUUCGAUUCCAGUUCGAGAGA